UCCCCCCCACGUCUCUCUUUGAUCUAAGAGAUUACACGGGUCAAUACACCGCGUGGUACUCCAAGGUGUGACGCUUGUCGGACUUCACCCACGUGUAAGCUAAUUCUUAGCCUAGGACGUUUCCUGUGUCCGCCCACAUUUCCCAGGCAUAUAUAAGUAGAUUCAAAUCAAGCCAGACCCUUUCACUCCUCUAUCGCUGUCGAUCGAGUCUGGACUAUAUCAUUUAUUCUCCCUCCUAGAGGAAUACCUGGUGCCUCCCUCAGGUGUCUGCCUAUUUAUCGGAUUACUUACCUGCCUAUUUGCCUACUGGCCUAUUUAGAUGCUUAGUGCUAUUCAGCACUGUAUUUGCUAUCAAGAAUCACCUAUCGCCUAUUUGCCUACUGGCCUAUCUAUGUGCUUAGUGCUAUUCAGCACUGCACUUUCCUAUUGAGUAUCACCUACCGCCUACGGAGAUCUACUCAAUUCUACUACUUGGCGCUAUCGGCAUUGCCCGCCUAUUCGACAGCCCACCUGUCAAGCUAUUAGGCGCGACGUCCCUAUAGAGUCAGAUCUGUGCGAGACGUCAUAGCUACGCCAACCCUCGGCAACUCACUGGACAUAUCCUGUCAACUACGCUGCCCACGGCAGAUCAGCUCUGCCCGCAGUAUCCUUGUGUCACGGUAGCCGGCCACCCGCCCUACUGUGCCCACUACAGAUAUUAGAUUUUGGGGAUUGAGACUCCACAAGAACUAUAUCACCGGCGUCCCUCUAUCCGCUAGAGCGCCACCUCCAGCUGCAGAACCUCAAGCCAGGACACAGCCAGCUGCGACAUCAACAGGAAUACCAGCUAAGUCAGAGGACAAAGUGACAUACUCUUAUUAGGUGCUACAGUGAUGAUCAAAAUACCUUACUAAUUAGAGAUAGAUGCAAACCCUCCCCCUUUUAUUCUUAUAUGUAUAUUUAUGUAAAUAAAUAUUCUUUUAUUUUAA